GAGGUCAUUGCUAUUGGGGUCCGAUUUAGCCAUGCUAGUUGCACGGGUUCAUACUCGUGGCGAAAAGCUCAGUAACACGUGGCCAAACUACCCUACAGAGAACGAUAACCUCGGGAAACUGAGGCUAAUAGUUCAUACGGGAGUCAUGCUGGAAUGCCGACUCCCCGAAACGCUCAGGCGCUGUAGGAUGUGGCUGCGGCCGAUUAGGUAGACGGUGGGGUAACGGCCCACCGUGCCGAUAAUCGGUACGGGUUGUGAGAGCAAGAGCCCGGAGACGGAAUCUGAGACAAGAUUCCGGGCCCUACGGGGCGCAGCAGGCGCGAAACCUUUACACUGCACGCAAGUGCGAUAAGGGGACCCCAAGUGCGAGGGCAUAUAGUCCUCGCUUUUCUCGACUGUAAGGCGGUCGAGGAAUAAGAGCUGGGCAAGACCGGUGCCAGCCGCCGCGGUAAUACCGGCAGCUCAAGCGAUGACCGAUAUUAUUGGGCCUAAAGCGUCCGUAGCCGGCCACGAAGGUUCAUCGGGAAAUCCGCCAGCUCAACUGGCGGGCGUCCGGUGAAAACCACGUGGCUUGGGACCGGAAGGCUCGAGGGGUACGUCCGGGGUAGGAGUGAAAUCCCGUAAUCCUGGACGGACCACCGAUGGCGAAAGCACCUCGAGAAGACGGAUCCGACGGUGAGGGACGAAAGCUAGGGUCUCGAACCGGAUUAGAUACCCGGGUAGUCCUAGCUGUAAACGAUGCUCGCUAGGUGUGACACAGGCUACGAGCCUGUGUUGUGCCGUAGGGAAGC
rnacentral:rRNA from 1 species